AUUACAUGAGAGUUUGAUCCUGGCUCAGGACGAACGCUGGCGGCGUGCCUAAUACAUGCAAGUCGAACGGUCUUUUCUAUGGAAGCUUGCUUC
rnacentral:rRNA from 1 species